rnacentral:rRNA from 1 species
UACGUAGGGGGCAAGCGUUGAUCCGGAUUUACUGGGCGUAAAGAAGCGCGUAGGCGGUUGCGUAAGUUGGUUGUGAAAUCCCUCGGCUCAACCGAGGAACUGCAGCCAAUACUGCGCAACUGGAGUGGCAGAGAGGAAAGUGGAAUUCCCGGUGUAGUAGUAAGAAUGCGUAGAUAGUCGGAGGAACACCAGUGGCGAAGGCGACUUUCUGGCUGCUAACUGACGCUGUGGCGCGAAAGCUAGGGGAGCGAACGGG